GGGUGGCUAAACUCUCAGGCAGAAGAAGGGCGCCAACUCUCAGGCGAAGUGAAGCCUCAGGAGGGAAGGAGGGGGCUUAAAUAAGCGACGGGGCUUGGUGCAGUUAUGGUGGUGGAUAUCCCUAAGUCCACCAGUGCCCACCACGUGUCCCACUCAUCGCGGUGUAGGGCUGACCGCUGGCGGGAUCAUUAUGGUGUGGUGCUUGGGACUACGCUCUGGUGGGAAUUCCGAAAGGACCCUUCGGAUCGCCCUGAUUGGAAAAAGGCUCCGGCAUGUGCGUAUUAAAUACUAAAAUAUCUGAGGGCGAUCGUGCAUAGGAUUCAAGGGGACAACUUCAGCUGUGAAAUUUCUUUGUACUUCUUCUAUUCGAAACUCGAACUCGAAAGUAGGGGGACUGGUGUUGGGUACAAAAUACCCCAACAGUCGAAGUUCGUGCCAGGGGUGACCC
rnacentral:lncRNA from 1 species